rnacentral:rRNA from 1 species
GACGAACGCUGGCGGCGUGCCUAAUACAUGCAAGUCGAGCGAAGUUUUUCUGGUCCUUGCACCGUAAAAACUUAGCGGCGACCGUGUGUGUAACACGUAUAGCACCUGCCUCAUAGACUGGGACAUCUAUUAGAAACGAUCGCUAAUCCCGUAUAAUAGCAUUACCUGCAUGGUUGAUGUUUAAAAGUUUGUUUUGCUAACACUAUGAGAUGUCUUUGCGGUGCAUUAGCUAGUUGGUGGGGUAAAGGCCUACCAAGGCGACGAUGCAUAGCCGAACUGAGAGGGUGAUCGGCCACACUGGGACUGAGACACGGCCCAGACUCCUACGGGAGGCAGCAGUAGGGAAUCUUCCGCAAUGGGCGAAAGCCUGACGGAGCAACGCCGCGUGAGUGAAGAAGGAUUUCGGAUCGUAAAGCUCUGUUGUUAGGGAAGAAUGAUUGUGUAGGAACUAUAGAAAGUAGAGACGGUACCUAAUCAGAAAGCCACGGCUAACUACGUG